CAAUAGCGUAUAUUAAAGUUGUUGCAGUUAAAAAGCUCGUAGUUGGAUUUCUGGUGGGAGCGAUCGGUCUGGCGCUUAGCGCGAGUACUUGCAUCGUCUCCGGCCAUCCUUGGGGAAAGUCUGUCUGGCAUUAAGUUGUCGGGCAGAGGAUCCUCAUCGUUUACUGUGAAAAAAUUAGAGUGUUCAAAGCAGGCUUAUGCCGUUGAAUAUAUUAGCAUGGAAUAAUAAGAUAGGACUUUGGUACUAUUUUGUUGGUUUGCGCACCAAAGUAAUGAUUAAUAGGGACAGUUGGGGGUAUUCGUAUUCCGUUGUCAGAGGUGAAAUUCUUGGAUUUACGGAAGACGAACCACUGCGAAAGCAUUUACCAAGGAUGUUUUCAUUAA
rnacentral:rRNA from 1 species